CGGAGAAGGUUAGGCUGGCCGGGCGACGGUUGUCCCCGGUUUAAGGAUGUAGGCAGGUGAAUUAGGCAAAUCCGGUUCACUAUAUGCUGAGGUCUGAUGACGAGUCACUACGGUGGCGAAGUAGCUGAUACCCUGCUUCCAGGAAAAGCCUCUAAGCUCUAGAUUAUCAUUAAUCGUACCCCAAACCGACACAGGUGGUCAGGUAGAGAAUACUCAGGCGCUUGAGAGAACUCGGGUGAAGGAACUAGGCAAAAUGGUGCCGUAACUUCGGGAGAAGGCACGCUGGCAUUAGGUGAAGUCCCUUGCGGAUGGAGCUCAAGCCAGUCGCAGAUACCAGCUGGCUGCAACUGUUUAUUAAAAACACAGCACUGUGCAAACACGAAAGUGGACGUAUACGGUGUGACGCCUGCCCGGUGCUGGAAGGUUAAUUGAUGGGGUUAUCCGUAAGGAGAAGCUCUUGAUCGAAGCCCCAGUAAACGGCGGCCGUAACUAUAACGGUCCUAAGGUAGCGAAAUUCCUUGUCGGGUAAGUUCCGACCUGCACGAAUGGCGUAAUGAUGGCCAGGCUGUCUCCACCCGAGACUCAGUGAAAUUGAACUCGCUGUGAAGAUGCAGUGUACCCGCGGCAAGACGGAAAGACCCCGUGAACCUUUACUAUAGCUUGACACUGAACAUUGAGCCUUGAUGUGUAGGAUAGGUGGGAGGCUUUGAAGCGUGGACGCCAGUCUGCGUGGAGCCAACCUUGAAAUACCACCCUUUAAUGUUUGAUGUUCUAACGUUGCCCCAUUAUCUGGGGUGCGGACAGUGUCUGGUGGGUAGUUUGACUGGGGCGGUCUCCUCCCAAAGAGUAACGGAGGAGCACGAAGGUUGGCUAAGCAUGGUCGGACAUCAUGCGGUUAGUGCAAAGGCAUAAGCCAGCUUGACUGCGAGAGUGACGGCUCGAGCAGGUACGAAAGUAGGUCUUAGUGAUCCGGUGGUUCUGAAUGGAAGGGCCAUCGCUCAACGGAUAAAAGGUACUCCGGGGAUAACAGGCUGAUACCGCCCAAGAGUUCAUAUCGACGGCGGUGUUUGGCACCUCGAUGUCGGCUCAUCACAUCCUGGGGCUGAAGUAGGUCCCAAGGGUACGGCUGUUCGCCGUUUAAAGUGGUACGCGAGCUGGGUUUAGAACGUCGUGAGACAGUUCGGUCCCUAUCUGCCGUGGGCGUUGGAAGAUUGAAAGGGGCUGCUCCUAGUACGAGAGGACCGGAGUGGACGCACCACUGGUGUUCGGGUUGUCAUGCCAAUGGCAUUGCCCGGUAGCUAAGUGCGGAAAAGAUAACCGCUGAAAGCAUCUAAGCGGGAAACUUGCCUUGAGAUGAGUCUUCCCUGACUCUUUAAGGGUCCUAAAGGAACGUUUAAGACUAAGACGUUGAUAGGUUGGGUGUGUAAGCGUAGCGAUACGUUGAGCUAACCAAUACUAAUGAACCGUGAGGCUUAACCUG
rnacentral:rRNA from 1 species